UACAGAGGGGGCAAGCGUUGUUCGGAAUUACUGGGCGUAAAGGGCUCGUAGGUGGCCAACUAAGUCAGACGUGAAAUCCCUCAGCUUAACUGGGGAACUGCGUCUGAUACUGGAUGGCUUGAGUUUGGGAGAGGGACGCGGAAUUCCAGGUGUAGCGGUGAAAUGCGUAGAUAUCUGGAGGAACACCGGUGGCGAAGGCGGCGUCCUGGACCAACACUGACACUGAUGAGCGAAAGCCAGGGGAGCAAACGGG
rnacentral:rRNA from 1 species